rnacentral:lncRNA from 1 species
AGUAGAACAAUUACCUCUAAAGGAUACCCGAUGGCUAUAACUUCGUCUACACAAUGAGUAUCUGUCAAGGAUUGAUUGGGUCCUUCAAAGAAUGUUCAUGCUGGUACUGCUUCCAAGCAGGUUUCUGAGGGUUCUCGUUCGAGAGCCCAGGAUGAUGCUGGAAGAAGAUUGAUUUUUGAUGCCCAGAGAAUACCUGACCAUGGUAGGAAAAGGGUAGAAGGUAUACUGCUUAGAAUCUUAUACCGAAGUGGUCAGACUGACAGACCGAUCAAGUUAGAAAGAAGUCUACACUUUAAAGACAUGUCUCGAGGCCUUCCUUGGGAUCGAAGCAGAC